CCUUGAGAGUCCUGAAGGAACGUUGAAGACGACGACGUUGAUAGGCCGGAUGUGUAAGCGCAGCGAUGCGUUGAGCUAACCGGUACUAAUGAACCGUGAGGCUUAACCUU
rnacentral:rRNA from 3 species